UACGGGGGGGGCAAGCGUUGUUCGGAAUUACUGGGCGUAAAGGGCUCGUAGGCGGCCAACUAAGUCAGACGUGAAAUCCCUCGGCUUAACCGGGGAACUGCAUCUGAUACUGGAUGGCUUGAGUUCGGGAGAGGGAUGCGGAAUUCCAGGUGUAGCGGUGAAAUGCGUAGAUAUCUGGAGGAACACCGGUGGCGAAGGCGGCCCUCUGGACGGAUACUGACGCUGAGACGCGAAAGCGUGGGGAGCGAACAGG
rnacentral:rRNA from 1 species